AGGCAGCAGUGAGGAAUAUUGCGCAAUGGGGGCAACCCUGACGCAGCGACGCCGCGUGAGUGAAGAAGGCCUUCGGGUUGUAAAGCUCUGUCGGAAGGGAAGAAAUGCUUGGGUGCUAAUAUCAUCCAGGUUUGACGGUACCUUCAAAGGAAGCACCGGCUAACUCCGUGCCAGCAGCCGCGGUAAU
rnacentral:rRNA from 1 species